CAUCAGAGAAUCUGGCACGUUAUCUGCUUUAGAGAAUUCGACAAUUCAUCGAGCGUAACCCUCAACGGCGAGGGGCGCGCUCCCCGAGCGAUUCGGGAUCCGGACAAAGGCGUCCUGCUGGCAACGGCAGGACGCC
rnacentral:sRNA from 1 species